CGCCAUGCUUGCCGUCUGCUGCCCAGGCUGUGAGCCGGUUGCUCCCACAGGGUAUCUGUACAUUAUUAUGUAAUUCAGAUGAGAGGUGUUCAGAAAGGUCAGUAGAAGAUGGAGGAGACAGAUAUUCAGGAGAGGAAACGCAUUUGACAAUAAGGAAGUGAUGUGCUUAUUUUGGCUGCCAAAAGGUCUGAACUAUAGACAUCCGUCUUCAACAGUGUAAAACUAUUGGGGACUCCAACCUACUGAAUUUCCAGGAAAUAGGAUAUAUGCUCCAUGAAAGAUCUAGGCUUCAGAUCCAGACUGUUAUGAUGCUGGCUGUCUCGAUUGUCCUGCCAUGAUGCUGACAGUCUUGGUUGUCCUGCCAUGAAGCUAGCAGACAUGGUUGUCCAGCCAGGGUUCUGGCAGAUUAAGAUGUGCUGCCAUUCUGGUGGCAUUC